UACGUAGGGGGCGAGCGUUGUCCGAAGUUACUGGGCGUAAAGCGCGUGUAGGCUGCUUCGCAAGUCGGAUGUGAAAGCCCUGGGCUCAACCCAGGAAGUGCAUUCGAAACUGCAGAGCUGGAGUCCUGGAGAGGAAGGCGGAAUUCUCGGUGUAGAGGUGAAAUUCGUAGAUAUCGAGAGGAACACCGGUGGCGAAGGCGGCCUUCUGGACAGUGACUGACGCUGAGACGCGAAAGCGUGGGGAGCAAACAGG
rnacentral:rRNA from 1 species